ensembl:lncRNA
GACUUGUUGAAGAUAAGAAACAGUUUGCAAAUGAAAGGAGAGGAGGACACUGCUGGAGAAGAUGAUCUGCAGGAUCCUGCUGCUCAUCAUCCUCACCUCAUGUGUCUCUGGAUCAUUUGUAGUCAAUGUGACACAGACCUCCUAUCAGGCAGAGGAGAAGCACAACAUCACACUGGAGUGGACGUUCACCACCAAACCUGACAGAUCCUGGACCUACAUCUUCAUCCUCUGUAACCUGAUAACUGAGGAUAACGUCUCAGUCCUGUAUCAUGUUCUUGAAGGUGUUGAGGUGUCAGAGUCUCAGGAUGAAAAGUUUUCAGGACGAGUCCAGAGUGACAAAGACGCCCUCAGAGAAGGACGAAUCAGACUUCAGCUGUCCAGACUGAGGACUGAUGACUCGGGUCUGUACCUGUGUGAGGUCAACACUGAUUAUGGCUUCAGUGUUGGAAGAUGUCAACUCAACGUCACUGCAGUGCCAGAUUGUCCCGAAUGUGAGAGAAAACUGGACACAUCAAACACAGAAACUCAACAAUUCGCAGGUGAUAUUAAACUGUCAAUGGUGAGACGUCCCUUUUCCCAGAGUUGAACACCAUAAAGGUAAGACUCAUAUAAGCUAAAAACUCCAAUAUUUAAAUGAAAUCUGUUUAACAUCCUGAUGGAUGUACUCAUGGGGGUUCAAAGCUGAUAAAAACUGCAUUUUAAUUGUUAUUUAACAGACAGUGCAUUAGGACACAUGCUGGCCAGAGAAUAAGUGUCAUGAUACACAAUAAUGGACAUCAAAUUGAUUUUUUUUAUCUUCGUUUUUUUGUUUGUUUAUUUGUUUAAGACACAUUAUCAAAUUGUCACUCAUCAGACAGAUGAUGAAAUGUGCACUGUGUUCACUUUACUGUAAUCACACAGGGAAACACCUCUACCUCACGCACCACGUGCAGCAGAUAUAAAUUCAGUGUUUAAUGUGUUUACUGUUGUAAUGUUGAAAGGAUUCAGAUUAAUUAUGUUAACAAUGAAGAUGAUCUGACGUGUUGUAAACUGUCAUGGAGUUGUGUGUAGCAAAGGACAUUAUACUUAAUAUUAUGUACAUAUUAUGUAAGUGCACACAACAAACAUCUCUACAGCUUCACUUAUAUCUGUGUUAAAGUUGGAGUUAAACACAGCUGGUAGAGCUCCUGUAGCUCUCAGUCUAAUGUACAAAAAUGCCUGUUCCAAAAUCUCCUGAAGUAAAGGUUUAAUGACUUAUUUUGUAAAAUGAAGUCAGACUGUUUGUGUUUCAUUUACUGUUUUCUCCAUAUAAUACAAAAAACACAGAAAGCCAUAAGGGCUGCUACUAGCUGCAGUCUAACAUAAAGAAAUGAGGCCACUGUUUGGUGAAGGACAUCAACAUGUGUAUCAUAAAUGUUUAUGGAAUUGGUUUACACUGAAAAUUAAGCUGUAGAAUAUCUGAAUUUCACCUAAUAAUGUUUGUUUCAAUACACAAUAGAUUUAUAUAUAGUACACAUAUUAGGAAAGAAAAGACCUUGCCAGGAACAUGGAGCCUGCAGCUAUCAAAUCAGUCAUGGUCUGUGUUCACUUUGAAUAUAUAGACCCGAGUCAUCAGUCCUGAGUCUGGACAGUUGAAGUCUGAUUCGUCCUUCUCUGAGGGCGUCUUUGUCACUCUGGACUCGUCCUGAAAAAGUUUUCAUCCUGAGACUCUGACACAUCAACAUCUUCAAAACAUGAAACAAGACUUAGUCUUUAGGACCAGUUUUCAGGCCACAGAGUAUGAAGAUGUAGAUCCAGGAUCUGUCUGGUUUGGCUGUGAACUAUUGGCCUGCCUCUUCUUUUGUUUCUUUUGUUUCAGCCAAUAGCUCUUUGAGAAUCGCCUUGUUCCUGCAAAAAAAAUUCUAUUUUAUGUUUGUCAAACUCUGCCAUCUUUGGAUUUUUUUGUAGAUUCAACUUAAUGGGGACAGGUGUGUUUUGUCUUGUAACAGACUGCCAUAUAUAAAUUGCCUUAAUAAUUUAAAAUUAGUUCUUUUGUAAGCGGUCUGUUAUCCAUAGACAUAGCAGUGGUUCAUCCCCUGAGUUAGGUGACUGUUUAAUGUUUGAAUGAUCCAUAGGUCAGUGUUAAAUAGAAACAUUAGAUACCAGAAAUGUCCUAAAAAAAAGUAAAUUUAUUGAUGCAUAAUAUUUUUGUGUAUUUUUCCUUUCUCUUUCUUUAUAUAUUUUUAUUUUUUAUUUAGAAAAUUGUUUGUUAUUUCCAUAACGCUUCUGGUCCAUCAGCUGUCUGAGAGAAAAGUAAACUCUUAUAUAAAUAACAUGGCUAAAUAUGUUAAAUAAGCAGAAAGACCAAGCUUUGAAGAAUGAAGCAAUUAAGUGGUUAAAAACUCCUGCUACAUUAUGAGCUCUAAACUGAAAACUUUGACAGUUGCAGAAGAACAUGGAAAUAAAUUGGCAGAGAAUGAAUUUGGCAUUGACACAGUAAACAAGUCAUCUUUAUUUUAGUUAAAUAAUAAUGUGCGUGCUCACUGAGAAGCUAAUGCUGAAAGCUGAGUUGGAAGUUGGAACAAAUCGUGGAGUCAAUAAUGAACGUUAGUGAAAGAAGUGCAGUGAAUUUUUGAAUAUACAAAAGCUUGUAUUUAAACAAAGAUAUUUUUGGUUUUAAUCUAACAUGAAGAAGAGAAUCUACGAUACUUCCUUAUAGAGAACAUCUUUAGUUGGCUUUAAUUGUAUGGUUUUUUUUUGUCAGAAAACAUUCAGAUUGAAAGCAGCAACAUAAAACAUAGCAGAUGAAGUAGUUCAUUUUAAAAGAGGACCUCCUAUCUUAUGUUUUCUAAAAGACUGCACAAGACCCUGAACAGCAACAAUGAUCAAAACUAUCAUGCCACUAACUAUUAAAAGUGCACUCUCUAAAACUCCCAGAACAAUUUUAACUUGAUCCCAGUAGUUCUUAUUUCGACUUUCAGCACCUGCAAGAAGAAAAAACAGAUGAAGUUAGAAUCCUCUUGAUCAAGAUCAUCCCAUAUCACAGCCUCGCACUUCCGGCCUUCUUGGUCUUCGAAGGACCCGGCCAACGUAGACUGAAGGCCGGGUCCUCUGAAGGAUGCAGCCUAUGAGUUGGCACAUAGCUGUUAUUUCCCUCUGAGUUACUGAUUCUGUCACUAUUUAGCUAGUCUAUAAGUUAGUUUAUUAGCCGGAGCCAACCAACCAACCACAUAAUGUAAUGCUCUGUACUGACAGAAGAUGGUGCUACACACGUCUUCAAAACUUUAAUUACUUAUUUCUUAAAUCCAGCUUAACAGACAGUGUUACAUCUAUCUCAUUUUUUGAGAGCAUGGCUGAAUGAUGUAAAUUAGCCUUUAUAUUUGUAGUGUUUCAUGUCCUCUUUAACAGAGGGAAUAACACAGGGGGAUAAGAAGGAGGAAAACACUCAGGUGGCUUCUUAAACUCCAUAAAUACAAAUACCAAGAAUAAGUAAAAUAUAACUAUAACUAAAGUUUAAAGAUAAAGUUAAAAAUAAAGAAACUACAAACAAAUAAAAUUAAGAAGUAAAUAGAAAACCCUUAAUAAUAAGCAAGAAUGUUAACCCAACAAACUGUCAGUCCAGGCACGGAUCACAACAAUUAUAUUUUGGAACUAUUUUUCAGCCAUGACUAGACUCAUAAACAGCUGUAGGGUAAAUUUUACAGGACAUAAACAAAUUAAAAAAAAUCAGACAAAUAAUAGAAAUCUCCACAUACUGCUCAGUGUGACACUGAUAAUAAUCCUUUAAAAAAGGUGAAAUAAAUAACUUACCAGAAACACUGACUCUGCAUCUGGCAGAACUGAAGCCAUAAUCAGUGUUGACCUCACACAGGUACAGACCCGAGUCAUCAGUCCUGAGUCUGGACAGUUGAAGUCUGAUUCGUCCUUCUCUGAGGGCGUCUUUGUCACUCUGGACUCGUCCUGAAAACUUUUUAUCCCGAGACUUUGACAACUCAACACCAUGAAUGACACGAUAGAGGACAAAGUGUUCAUGGCAAGCUAUAAGGCAACAAAUGAUGGAAAGAGUUUUGGUUGAUCUGUCAGGUUUGGUGGUGAACGUCCACUCCAGUGUGAUGUUGUGGUUCUCCUCUGCCUGAUAGGAGGUCUGUGUCACAUUGACUACAAAUGAUCCUGUCGAGGAGACAGAGAGGGAAAGAGAGGAGCAGACACACUGAGAACUGGAACAAAUCUGUUGUUGAGCUUUAUUUGGAGUUCAUAAAGUGAAGCUGCAAACUAACCAGAGAUACAUGAGGUGAGGAUGAUGAGCAGCAGGAUCCUGCAGAUCAUCUUCUCCUUGUGAGAGGAGACAGAGGUGAAGAGUCAUCAACACAUGAGGUCAAAGGUCAGUCAGUACAGCAGAAAGAAGGAAAAUCUACAGUCUGACUUCAUUCACUCAGUACAACAUCUGAUCCUGUUCAUGAUCCUGAUUUUUACAGUGAAAGCUCUUCUUCUGAUGCUGGUUGCCUUCUGUUUUCUGUCAGGAUGAUCCCACACUGCUUCAACAAGGUUGAGAUCCUCUGGAGAGGUCAAGCCAUGACUGAUUGUGUGCAAUGUAUGCAUUUCUAUCGAGCUGUACUUUUAAUGCUAAAGAAUCUGCCAGUCUGAUUUUUUUCCCAGAUUUUAUUUCAUAGUGUACAAAAUCUGAAGGUAUCUGAAUCGGCAUUCAUAAUUGCAUCAAUUCUGACUGGCUGAAAUACAUCCCCAAACUAGGACUCGACAUUUACAAAUGAUUUAUAGAUGACUGUAGAGACUCGCUGUUGUACCACUCUGCUUACCUCUUCUCUAUAUACGGUUCAUGAAUUGAACUAAAUGUUGUAAAUUUGGUAUAAUAACUCUAUAAGACCUAUUGCUACUGCAUCCCAUUUCUUGUGAAGCAGGGGAAGUGAGUACAUUCAAAGAUAUGGUGAGGUCAGUAAUUCAAGAGGGACUCAGAGUAGAGUUGCUAAUCCUACACAUUGAAAGGAGACAGUUGAGCCGGUUCGGGCAUCUGAUUAGGAUGCCUCCUGGACGCAACACCGCCUACAGGUGUUGGCCAGAGGGGCCGAUGGCGUGAUAUGGCAGCCUCGCUUCUGUCAGUCUGCCCCAGGGCAGCUGUGGCUACAACUUAGCUUGUCUCCACCAGUGUGUGAUUGUGAGAGUGAAUGAAUAGUGGAAUUGUAAAGCGCUUUGGGUGCCUAGAAAAGCGCUAUAUAAAUGCAAUCCAUUAUUAUUAUUAUUAUUAUUUAUUCUAAGGUUUCUAGGUGAAGUGUUUCGGCAUUUCCUACCAGUAGGAGGCCCCGGGGCAGACCCAUGGCUUAUUGCUGACAUUUUAAUGACUGUGAUACUUAAUUUGGGCCCUGUAGCAAAUAAUAACUGGAUAAAUAGAUAAAUAGUCCAAUUUAUUAAGAUGGAAUUAAAUGAGUUUUUACUGGAAUUUUCAUAAUCAUAAAGUCAAAAAACAUUAACUCAAGAUUCUGAGCAGUAACUUAUACUGUGAAUGAGAAAGAACCCAGGUUUUGUCUCAUUUAGGGCUUAUUGCUCUCUGCUGCAAAUAUUAAACACUCAGUGCUGUCUGCGUUAAGCUGCAGAAAAUAGUUUGCCAUCCAACUAUUAAUUUCCUUACGACAAUCCAUUAGAAUGGAUAGUUUAUCCAAUUCACAAGGUUUAAAGUGAGGUACAAUUGGAUAUUGUCUACAUACAGAUAAUAGGAAAAGAUUUUAAAACUACUAAUAAUAAGGCGUAAUGGCAAGAUCUAUAAUAAGAAUAACAAAGGUCUUAAAACAGAUCCUUGCAGAACACCCCAUGAAAAUUCAGUUACAUCUGAUCAAAAGUUUUUCACUGAGACAAAGUAAGGUUCCAUGCCAAGAAAUCCCUACUAUAGAUCUUCUGUUCUUUCUUUGCACUUAAAAAUAUAAAUACUAACAUUAAACAACUGGAGAGAUACAUACUCCUGCUGCAUCCUCUUCUUUGAGCUGGUAUCUGUUUCCAAAAAACAACCUCCAGCUCUGUUAUGUAUCUUCAGUCUGCCCAAACUGCCCAAAGACACCAAGUUGAUAUGCAGUAUUACUUUUUAUGCUGUAUACAUAAACAAGUAGCUGUCUGCUCACAGAUAGGCAUUUU